AUUUGGGGUGUGAUAAUUUUGGGGUUCCCAGUUUGGGGUGUGAUAAUUUGGGGUGUGAUAAUUUUUGGGUGUGACAAUUUUGGGGUGUGAUAAUUUUUGGGGUGUGAUAAUUUUGGGGUGUGACAAUUUUGGGGUGUGACAAUUUUGGGGUGUGAUAAUUUUUGGGGUUCCCAGUGCGGGGUGCAGAACUUCAAGCGACGCGAGAAAUGUUUCAAAUGCGGCGUCCCCAAAGCCGAGGCCGAGCAGAGGGGUCCGGGGGGUCCCCGUCCGGAGCUGGUGCCGGGGGGGGGAGGGGGGCUCCUGCCCCUCCCCCAACCCUACGGCCCCACCCUUGGGGGGCCCCCAGGGGGGUCCCAGGGGGGCACCGAGCCCGGAGCUGACAACGCCAACGACAGUGAGUGAGGAUUUGGGGGGAUUUUGGGGGAUUUGAGGGAAAUUCAGGAAGUUUUUGGGAAAUUUUGGGGAUUUUUAGGGAGGAAAAUUUAAUUUUUAUAUUUUUGGGAUUUUUUUUUUUGUGGGGUUUUUUGGGAUUUUUUGGGAUUUUUGAGAUGGGUUGAGAAGUCCUGGGAUGGAUUUGGGGGGAGACUCAGGUGUCCCCAGGUGUCCCCAGCUGUCCCCAGGUGUCUCAGGUGUGUCCCCAGGUGUGUCCCAGGUGUGUCCCCAGGUGUCCCCAGGUGUACCCAGGUGUGUCCAGGUAUGUCGCCAGGUGUCCCCAGGUGUGCCCCCAGCUGCCCCCAGCUGCCCCCAGGUGUCCCCAGCUGUCCCCAGCUGUCCCCAGCUGUCCCCAGCUGUCCCCAGGUGUCCCCAGGUGUUCCCAGGUGUCCCCAGGUGUUCCCAGGUGUGCCCAGGUGUGUCCAGGUAUGUCGCCAG
rnacentral:lncRNA from 1 species